rnacentral:rRNA from 1 species
CAGCAGGCACGCAAAUUACCCACUCCCGGCCCGGGGAGGUAGUGACGAAAAAUAACGAUGUGAGACUCAUCCGAGGCCGCGCAAUCGGAAUGAGUACACUUUAAAUGCUUUAGCGACUACCCAUUGGAGGGCAAGUCUGGUGCCAGCAGCCGCGGUAAUUCCAGCUCCAAUAGCGUAUAUUAAAGUUGUUGCGGUUAAAAAGCUCGUAGUUGGAUCUCAGUUCCGGACUGACCGUGCACCGCCCGGYGCUUACUGUCASGCUCCGAACAGCCGCAACGCCGGCUCGCAUUGGAUGCUCUUUGUCGAGUGUCCCGAGUGUUCGGAGAGUUUAAUUUGGAGAAAUUAGAGUGCUCAGAGCAGGCUAUUUGAAUGGCCAAAAUGGUGAUGCAUGGAAUAAUGGAAUAGGACCYCGGUUCUAUUUUGUUGGUUUUCGGAUCCAGAGUUAAUGACUAAUGGGAACAGGCGGGGGCUUUCUUAUUGCGACGCUAGASGUGAAAUUCUUGGACCGUCGCAAGACGAACUACUGCGAAAGCAUUUGCCAAGGAUGUUUUCAUUAAUCAAGAACGAAAGUUAUAGGUUCGAAGGCGAUCAGAUACCGCCCUAGUUCUAACCAUAAACGAUGCCAACUASAGAUCCGCUGGCGUUUAUUCCCAUGACCGGGCGGGCGGCUUCCGGAAAACCAAAUGUGUUUGGGUUCCGGGGGAAGUAUGGUUGCAAAACUGAAACUUAAAGGAAUUGACGGAAGGGCACCACCAGGAGUGGAGCCUGCGGCUUAAUUUGACUCAACACGGGAAACCUCACCAGGCCCGGACACCAGAAGGAUUGACAGAUUAAGAGCUCUUUCUCGAUUUGGUGGGUGGUGGUGCAUGGCCGUUCUUAGUUGGUGGAGUGAUUUGUCUGGUUAAUUCCGGUAACGAACGAGACUCUGGCCUACUAACUAGUCGACGGGGUCUACAGCCCGUCCGCGGGCGGCGGCCCCGUUCGACAAUGUCUUCUUAGAGGGAUGAGCACCGAGUAUAGCUGCAGGAGAUUGAGCAAUAACGGGUCUGUGAUGCCCUUAGAUGUCCUGGGCCGCACGCGCGCUACACUGAAUGGGUYASCGGGUUGUCCUUCUCCGAGAGGAGCGGGAAAUCGCGUGAAAACCAUUCGUGAUAGGGAUUGGGGCUUGCAAUUGUUUCCCAUGAACGAGGAAUUCCCAGUAAGCGCGAGUCAUCAGCUCGCGCUGAUUAAGUCCCUGCCCUUUGUACACACCGCCCGUCGCUACUACCGAUUGAAUGAAUUAUUGAGGCCUUCGGACUGGCGGUCUCGGACUGGGCUCCGGACGGCGCAAGCCGUGCCGGACCCGCCCUGACGAGCCGGAAAGAUGUCCAAACUUGUUCAUUUAGAGGAAGUAAAAGUCGUAGCAAGGUUUCC